GUUCAUUGAUUUGUAGGGUGAGCCAAUACAUGUGACAACUAAAGUGUAAGUAGCUGAAAUAAUUUUUAACAAACGGGUAAAAGAAGGAAAAAAAUUCAAAACUGUUGCACUCAAAAAACCUAUUGGACAGAGACAGCUUCUUGUAAGAUGGUGAGAGAGCUUGUCUCCAUUGUUGUUCACCUCGUGUAAAUGUCCAGAAAGCAUGGGCCAUGGAUCAUCUGUGGAGACACAGGUAAAAACACAUUGUUCACUUAAAUUAUACAAGAAAUUCACUAUAAAUGGCAACAACAGUUACUAAUUUAUUAAUAUAUGAGGUUCAAUUCAAGAAAUUCCAUUUGAGUGUGGCUGCAACUUACUCCUUAAGUUAAAAAUGUCACGGCCCGUGGCUUGGCAUCCAGGGAGCCGGGGGAGGCUGCAGUGGCCACACCCUCGGGCUGGGCCGCCUCCAAACCACCUGCGUCUCAUCUGAGGCAAUCACCGGAGGGCUACUUCUGCCAGCUCUGACGGCUUCUCCCCGCCAGUCCGUACAAGUCUUCCUAGCGUGACCUGCAUUCAGCGUGGAAAUCCGUGGCCUGCCUGUCCUCCUGUCUCCCUCCCAAGGAUUCCCUCCACGGGCUCCUCCCCCUCCAAGCUCCACGGUCCUGCUCUACCCUUUCCCCUCGGUCCCGAUUGCGGUGCUCCUGGGCUCCGCGCACCUUGUUUUCCCGUGGCACGAGCCUUAGCUUUUCGUUUCCUUAAGCGUUGUUAAAAGAUUCCUCAGUUCAAUAAAAACUUGUAUAUAGUUCUGA